rnacentral:lncRNA from 1 species
UUUUUUUUUUUUCUUUUUUGUCCGCCCACAGCCUAUGGAGUUCCGGGGACAGGGAUCAGAUCCGAGACACAGUUGCGCAGCUGCAGCAUCACCAGAUCCUUAACCUGCUGUGCUGGGCCAGGGAUCAGCCCUGCCUCCCAGGGCUCCCAAGACGCCGCUGAUUCUGUUGCAUCACAGGGGGAGCUCCGGUGGUUUCUUACAAUGUUGAACACGCGUUUACUGUGUGCCAUUGAAACUCAGUUCCACACAAACCCCUGCUCACGAGGGUUUAUGGCAGCUUCACUUAUAAUUGCGAAAACCUGGACACAACCCAGAUGGCCGUUAACUGGUAGCGGAUCCACUGUGGUGCAUCUGUGCCAUGAACUGUCACUCGGGAUUGAAGAGGCUUGAGUUCCUGACACGUGUGAUCACGUGGGUGACUCUCGAUAGCAUUAUGCACCACGCGACAGGUGACACGCUGCCUGGUACUGCUUACACGAUGUUUUGGGUAAGACAAAGCUACAGGGACAGAACGACAGAAAGCAGAUCCCUGAUCGCCUGGAGCUGGGGGAGGGGACUGGCUCCAAGGGGAACAGAAUGGUGGCAAAGAUGCCGUAUUUGGCUGGGGUGGUGGCUACAGGUCCGCAGGCCUUUGUCCAACCUCAAAGAACUACGCCCUUAAAACGAGGGCUUUUGCUGAAUGCAAGUUGAACCUUGAUAAGCCCGACUCAAGAAAGACCUCCCGUCUCUUGGGCACAGUCGUAGGUCUCCGAGGGUCUCCUGCUCGUGGCAUUUCCCUCUCCCUCCUCUGCCUUCUGUGCAUCCUCCUAUUUUAAGACGACCUGUGAGAGGUCGCUUUGUGUCUGUCAAAUGAUACCAUUGUUGCUUUGCCGUCGCCCCUUUCGUCUUCCGCUCCUCUCUGGACAUGGUGAAAGUCGCGGGUUUUCGGUACCCCUUCUGGUUUGUGCCCUGCCUGGUGUUUCCCGCGGGGUGACACGGAUUCACAUCCUGGGUGCCGGCUGCCUCGGAGCCUUUGGCUACUUCAUGCUUCGGGGAAGCCCCCUCCGCCUGCCGCCCGCCAAGAUCAUCCUUCGGCCGCGGGACCGCCUGGUCGCCUACUCGGCGCUGGUGGUUGCAGUGAAACCUUUCCUGUCGGCAUGGAGAGUCCUCCUUUCCAGGCUGCUCUCUGUUUUCCUGGCCCGUCUUAAUACCCUCGAAAAGGCACUGCCAAAACCAACAGUCGUCUUCCGAGGCCUUUUCCGAAGACGUGUUUACUCAAGGUGGAGAGACGUCAAGGUGCCGCAUGGGUCACUUUCGAUGGUGUCGCUUUUGAUGUUGAAGAUCUCUGAACCGAAGGCAAGCGGAAGGGAGAGGGGAGGCCACGCAACAGAGAGCUUUGCGCUUGGGGCCCCAGCGUAUGAUCUAGCUGGCUGAACGCAAGAUGAUGCUGGCGGUCAUUGUGCCGGGACGUGGUGGCCGUGCGCUCUUGCAGGUCCAGGUGCACGGGAGCACCGCGGAACCAAGCAGAAGCAAGCAGCAGUUUGAGGGCGAGAAAAGUCAUGGGUCUGAAACUGGAGGGGGCCUGCAGCAAUGACUGGGUGCAUGUCCUGCCCCUCCUCGGGUUGGCGGGACUUCAGAUUUCCGCCUGAGAGAGGCAGACAGAGAAGCACCGGAAGAGGCCAGCCUGGUACCACUUGCCAGUCUAGGAGACUUUUGGACCCCUGUCUCCAGACCCCAGCGCGGCUUCUUUGUCCGCCUGGCCAGGUCCCGGGCACAGCUGCCAGCUCAGCUCUGCGUUAGAACUGCACUCAGCAUCAUGGAGCAUUUUUGGUUCUGGGGGUCGGGGUCUCAGCCUCAGGUCAUGACUCAGAAUAUUGGUCCUUGUCAACCUGAAAACUUCUGAGCAAUUGCCUGUCGAAUAAACUAGCUUUUGCUGUAAUGGUGACAUCCGCAUCACCAGUUUAUCUUUCUGCCUCUGAGUGGGUGGGGCUCUGUGUCCGUCAGUGUAAUACAUCUCAGGACUCCAUCCUUGUAACGGCCAAGGGGUCUCCCCUCUAAAAAUCACAGAUCACAAGGGCGAGAAGGAGUGUUGGGAGACGCCGUGGUGACUUUGCAACGGGAACCCUCAGAAGGAGGAAAGGGAAAGGCAGUGACCUGUCCAGGGUCACCCCAUCACUCAUCGCCGCUCAGUCUCUUAGGUUCAGCCAAUGCUGCUCUUCUGGGGGGCGGGCAGCACCCCCAAGGUUACGACUGUGGAGGCCAAAGAUGAUGCCACUAAAUGGCGAGGCCACCCUGGGACGGUGCCCACAAAGCCUGGCGGGCUUUCCACCUCCUCCUGUCUUGCAGGUCGGCACGUGCGUGUACCUGGAGCCCCCGCUUGUCUCCCACUGCUGGCUGGCCCACAGUCUUGGCGUGUUCUGCACGGUACCAGGGUACCAAUUAGUAAGUCCCCUGGCAUGUCCUCAGCUCAGUGCAGCCAGGGCACAUCCUGCUCGGCUGGUUUUGUUAGGAAAAUAAGACGGAACGCACGAGGGGGCUGGAAGAUGGGCGCAAUGGUCACCCCACCCCCACUCCAGGUAACAGUUCGCUCGGCCGUCAAGCUCUCUGUACUCGGGCGCGUGUGUGUGUUUGUGUGAGCCCAGCGGAAGCAGGGGGGCAGACGCCAAGACGUUCCGCCAAGCCACGCGCUUCGCGGCUCACCCUGAGAGGACCCAGCCCAGUUCCCCCAUCCUCGGAGGCCCCGUCGAGUUCCGCUGUCCCCAGCUGCUCUUAAAUGGCGCAUGACAGCUCUCGUAUUAUCGUUACUACUGUGAUGGCUAUUAUUUGGCCUCAGCAUCCAGUCCAAGGUCUCGAGCUGCCCGGGAUGCUUUUGCCAGGUCACUGCAAGGAACACUGAGGAAAGGCCCGGAGGAAAUUAGGAGACCGCCCUUCUCUCCGAGAAAAUGCAGGGACCAGAUGAAAAGCAGAGACAUUGACCUGAGGCCCAAUGUCAAGUCCAGGGCAGCAGCGCCCUCCCCGUUCUCGGCCCCUGGCUUUGGGGCGAUUCCCAGCCGGUGCCAACAGCACUUCCGCGGAGUUUGCGGAACUCCAGCCACACGGCUGACUCCCGGGCUCCAGGCCUGUUUAAAGAGGGAGGAGCCCUGGGUUCUGCCCGACUGGAGCUGUCAGAGGCUUCCUUUUAAGAAGGAAGGGAAGGCAGAAACGUGUUCAUUUUAACUCUUGCCUCCGAGUGACAUCCUGGGUUUGGCUUCUCCUCCUCUCUCCGUCCAGAAAAAUACCUGAGGCCACAGUGCUCAUAUUUCACAAGCAAGGCCCGGGCCCCUGGGCUCAUAGGUUUCUCAGUGAGGCCGGCGUGCGAGGGUCUCAAGCCCUGUGGUCCCCCGUCGGCUGUUUCUGCCACUUCCUCCGGGCGGCUUUCUGAGUCACUGCAGGGGAGCGGGAAGCGGGGGGCUGAGGCUGCAGGGAGGGUCCUCACCUCCCAGGCCACCCUGAAAAUCAGUGCUCCGGCAGGAAGGGGCACAGCAGGAAGCAGAGCAGGGUUUGCCCAAACGAGACCCGCUCUUCCCAUCCCGAGCGGGGGCCACACCCCAGGCACUGGCCACAGGACUCCUGGUUUCCCCUGUGUCCCGUGCAGCCAUCCACAAGGACGGACCCUGUGAACCCCCAGAAAAGGAAGUGGGGGUGCUAUGGGACGCUGCGUGCCUCACCUCUCUGCUCACCCAGCACUGGCUCUUCCUGGGCUCUCACCACCUUUACGUGGUAGCUGAUCUGGAGGCCGUUAAAGCUUCAGCAUCCAGGUACCAGGAAGCUCGGGAUAAAGAUGGCAGGCUUCAGGGGCUGCAUUAGACACGAAGGAACCUUAGUCGAGGGAUCAUGACUGUUGAAAAAGAUCAUGGAAACCUCAGACCCUCUCAUUUCACCCUUCCCCUCGGCAGAGGAUGAGCAGAAGCUCAGAGCGGGCCACCUGCCCGGGGCUGUCCAGCUGGCCAGGACCAUGCCGCCCCUCCAACCGAGGCUGCUUCCUCCCAAGUCUUGGAUCCGGUCCUGGUCAUUUUCUUGGGGCCGCGGACUGUGUCGGGCAGUGAGAUCUUCAGAAGUAGGGACCUGUAUACACAGAGGAAGGGCAGGCCCAAGGGACCAGCUUUUCUCUUGGCCAGACGUCACGUCGGUGGCAAUACCCCAGGGCUGUGAGGGACCAAAUUCAGCUCAGAGUCCAGCUGGCAUUCCAGAAUUCAGAUGCGCCACGGAGCCCAGUGUCCCCCCACCAUCACAGCUUCUCACCCAAGACCCCACCCACCCGGGCAUGGCCAGUCUCCAGGCACGUUGCAAGUAUCCAGCCCCAUACAAAGUUUCCGUGGUUGGUUGGGUGUUCUGUCAUCGAGCUGUUGAGCUUCAACUCAGUUUUCAUGUUCCGGAGGCUUAGGCUCUUUGGGGAGAAAGAGAAAAGAAUUCCUUUGGAGCCACUGGUUUGGCCUGUCUUGCUAUGUGAAUUGCAUAUGAUUGGGACAAUUCAUCUUGAAUCUUGGUGCAAAACUCUACACGACGUGUUACCCACAGACCCCUCCAUCCGCUCCCCAGGUGUUCUCUUCGGGGGGAUUUCUUAAGCGCAGUUUUUUUGACCACCUAGGGGUGCUGAGCUGUUGGCGCGGUCCUCGAGGGAGGCCUUGGUGCCAUGAGGAGGAAGAGAAAAAGUCCCGACGGGUCGUCACAAAGCAGUUACGUCGGCUUUUAUUCUUCACUGGCAGCAUGGCCCUUCCAAAGGAUCUGCCAUCGUGCCGCUCAUUUCUCUCUCUGAUAAAGACUUCCUCCUUUUCUUUCUUUCUCUUAUUUUUGAAUCUCACCAAGAAUAAGAGCCUUCAACUAGCUCUGUGCCAUUGUUCAGGGUAUGGUGCUCUAAUGAGCCUCAGUGUGGGUCAGUCAGUGGAUGGAGGUGGCAGAUUGCAGGCUGAUUCUCCGCACUUGGAAGACAAAGGCAGGGCUCUUGAACGCGAUGGGAACAUGAUUUUCCCCUGAAAUGAUCCGUCACCUCAUGUGAUUCUCAGAUGAGGCAGGGAUGCGUUGAGCUCUUGAUGGCUCAGACUUCCUGCUUUGGCUAAACUCAUUGUUCCCCCAAAAGGCCAUUGGCUUUCUUUGGUCUGGGCCUUGGUGCAAGCUGUCCCCCGCCAAGAGGGGCCGCCCACCACUUUGCCACGCCAGGACCAUGCUCCGUCUGGCAGUGCACUACGUGGGCAUCCUGAAUGGUACCCAGGACAGUUCUAGGUGGUCUCAAGUUAAGUAUUUUCCACUUAAAGGUUACUUUAUUUAUCUGCAUGCUUGGGGCGGGGCAGCUAGACCGUCGAGUGGGCGGCCUCCACGCUAUCACUGUGGGGGUAGGUGGACCACCGAGUGGAUAACUUCAAGGAUAUCAUCCCUAGAAUGAGGCCAAGUUCUAAGAGGGAACUCACUUUGAUCGACUUUGAAAAUGAAAUAACACUGGGGGGAUCACAACGGGUGCAUGCGCUCCGUCUUGCUGCGUUUGCGCAAGUCCAAACUCCCAAACACUCUGAGGCCCCCCAGACCCCCAACCCCAGACCCUCAGCUGCCCGACUGUCACCAGAGUUCAGCAAAGCCCACUGUGGUGCUGCCCUGCCUUCUGGAGGAGAGCGCGCCAGCCCUGCUUCUCCUCCCCCACGGACCCCGUGUGGCCUCUAGAACUUGACCC